AAGGUUGCAAAAUGGCGAGGGGGGAGGUAAGCUGUCUUUGCUUGGCCAUCUUGGGCUAGCAGGCCUUGCAGAGAACUACCUUUUUAGCUGAGUGAAGGGAUCAACCUGAGUUGGAGUUCUCCUAUGCUGUGGCCAGAUCCACUAGAAAUUAACCCAGAAUCUUAGCCUCUCAGUGGCCUAUCGGUGAUGCCACACUCAAUCAGAAACUAUGCUACUGCUGAAGAGGUAUAUUGAGCCCUGCCUGGUUAACCUCCAGUGAGGUUAUUAGAGAAUUGGGAGAGGCUCAAAUCAGCAUCCUGCACCUAGUUAUCAAACCAUUGUGAAGUCUUGAUUCCUGGAUGGCCAGAAAACUUGUCAUUGGUCAAGAGCAACAUUAAGAUCUGCCUGUUACUCAUACUGAUGCUUCCUGCCCAGCAAGUUCAUCAGAGGGCGAGGAUGAAUUACGGUUGCCAUGAAUGUCCUUGUGAGGCAGUUGGGAAGCCUUGGCUGGAUUGUGAAGGAUAUUUGAAAAGUAUUUUAGAGUCCACCAGAUCAUCCAUGUGAGUGACCAUGCAGCAAAAGAAGGAGGGUCCUCUCAGUGAUUAAGGAUUAUGAAGUAUUAAUUCUUCCACUGAUAUCUCAAAAGGUGAUCUGGACAAAGGAACAGGUAUCUCAGACCUCCUGGCGUGGCUACUAACAAGUGGCAUCCAUGUUCUAAGACCUGAAUUUGCUGACCAAUAUCAGCAUCACCAUAAACUACACAAGGAUGAACUCUAGGCUGCCUUCAAAGCUUUUCCUGGACCAUCUAUAUAUAUCUGACUCAGUACGGGUAAAAGAAAUGCUGCAGUUUUCCCAGACCCUGCUUGGGCACAAGACAUUAAGUCUCUUUUUUUCCCCUAAUAAUAGGAAUGGCAUGUUUUGCAGUGGAGUAGGAUGAGUAUAGUAAGUAAGCUCUGUAAGGUCCUCUGAGCUGGCCGCACCAUGGUCAAGCCAUCGUGACAUUCCCCCGCCCUUGUGAUAAUGUACUUUGUGAUAUUCCCCAUCCUUGUGAAGGUAGUUUGUAACAUUCCCCGCCCUUGUGACAAUACACCCUCCCCGCCCUUGUUAAUGUAUUUGUAACAUCCAUCCCCUGCCUGCAAAAAAUUGCUUCUGACUCCACUGCCUAUCCCAAACCUAUAAGAAUAAAUGAUAAUCCCACC
rnacentral:lncRNA from 10 species